AACGAACGCUGGCGGCAUGCCUUACACAUGCAAGUCGAACGGUAACAGGUCUUCGGAUGCUGACGAGUGGCGAACGGGUGAGUAAUACAUCGGAACGUGCCUAGUAGUGGGGGAUAACUACUCGAAAGAGUGGCUAAUACCGCGUGAGAUCUACGGAUGAAAGCAGGGGAUCGCAAGACCUUGUGCUACUAGAGCGGCCGAUGGCAGAUUAGGUAGUUGGUGGGAUAAAAGCUUACCAAGCCGACGAUCUGUAGCUGGUCUGAGAGGACGAUCAGCCACACUGGGACUGAGACACGGCCCAGACUCCUACGGGAGGCAGCAGUGGGGAAUUUUGGACAAUGGGCGCAAGCCUGAUCCAGCAAUGCCGCGUGCAGGAUGAAGGCCUUCGGGUUGUAAACUGCUUUUGUACGGAACGAAAAGCCCUGGGUUAAUACCCUGGGGUCAUGACGGUACCGUAAGAAUAAGCACCGGCUAACUACGUGCCAGCCGCCGCGGUAAUAC
rnacentral:rRNA from 1 species